GAGGAUGAGGCCUGAGGCCGCGCCGCUGCACCGCCACAGAAACCUGGAAGAGCUGGACUGUGGCGACGGGUUGCAUACAAGUGUGCUCUCCCGGGAUGGACACCGUUACUAUAGCCAAGUAGGCCCGACAACUCUGCCUGCAGUCUUUCUAUGUGACCCCAGCUCAGUGGGCUGCUGGGUGUGCCACUGAAGAACUCGUGGUUUGCGGUCAGGGAGCAGCUCGGUAAAACAAAGAUGGCACCGACAUCCAGUCCCGUCUGGUAGUAAACAACUUAUCACGCAUGCGCAGGCUUGUCCCCUUGCCAGGGCAGCCGUAGGAUAAUGAGGUGAUCCGGCGCCCACCUGUGGUGAACAACGGUACCACGCAUGCGCGGGUUUUGCACCUGGCGUCAGUUGGCCAGGACGUUAAUAUGCUAAUGAGGGAUUCAUGCUCCUUCAAUCCCUGAAGGACAAUUAACAUAGCCUCAGCCUGCUGUAUAUAUAAGGCGAGCGCUUUUUCGGCUCCAGGUCCCCGUAUGAGCAAAGAGGUGGUCCUACAAUAAAGGCUGUUGAGAAG
ensembl:lncRNA